rnacentral:rRNA from 1 species
AGUUACGGCCAUACCGCCCUGAACGCGCCCGAUCUUGUCUGAUCUCGGAAGCUAAGCAGGGUCGGCCUGGUCUAUGAGUGUACACUAAGUAAACUCAGAGCACCUUAGAGU